UUCGCAACGGUUAUAACUUUUGCAUUAGACAACUAGACAUAAUGAAACACUUUGAGAAUUAAAUCAUUGCAUUAGUACUGCAACGUUGCCAUAUUAUCUUUAUAUUGCACGAUUCGUACAAACUGUUGCCUUAGAUACUCUAUGGCAACAAUUCCGUCAAUUAUUUCACUCCACUUAUUUCACUACACCCGUCAAAAGAGUUUUUUUUAAUUAAUUGUAAAAAUAAAAUAAAAAAACCUCAUUUUUAAUUCAAAUCGCUGAUCUCUAGUAUUCAAUCUCAGCCUUACAUCUUUUUAAAAAUCAAUGAUCUAGAUCAAAACAAUUGGCUUUACCCACUUUAAUCUACCAAGAGAAAAAUCCUUAAAAAAAAUUCCACUCCCCACCCUUCACUAUAGCAGCGGCGCCCACUCUCUCUUUUCCUCCCCUCCUCAUCGUUGUUUCCCUUUUCUCCCCGGCGGGAAACAACAGCCAGAAGCUCCAACGAGCAGGCUCUAUCGACGGAAACAACAAGCUCCAGCCGGCGAGCUCAAGGCAGCGUCACCUCUUUCUUUCUUCCAGCAAAGACGAGAGAACGACAACACCAGCAACCGAUAUCCCUAGCGCCUCCCUCCAUUCUUUUCUCUUUUCCAGCAGCUCCGACGAUGACCAACAAUAGCACGGAGAUGACCAGCGUCUGGUCUUCUCUUUUCCAUUCUCCGAUCAGCAAGCUACGAGGAAGCAGCUCCGAUGCAGCCACCUUCUCCUUCGUAGAGUUGAUUUCUAUCAGACAUGAGUAUCGAUAGUUCUAUCCUAAUCUUUAGCUGAGUUGAAUUUGAUUUGAAGGAAGUUGCAUCACUGAUUAAAGGUGGAGCAUAUACAAAUGAAGUGCAGAAGAUAUAGAGGGCUAUGAGAUUGACCAUGAAACUCAGGAGCAAACUAAAGGCUUCAGUACUUUCUACUUUUUGGCCUAAUUUUGUGAACUUGAAUGAAUGUCAAUUUUUGAACAUUCUAGGAUUAUUUUAUGUUUAAGCUUAAUUUUUAUGAUCAUCAAUGUAUGUUAAAUCUUGAAUUGUGUACUUAUCUUUAAUAUAUGGAUGCGACUAGUUGAAAUACAUAUUGGUUUAAUA